GUCUUACCACGUUGUUCCA
rnacentral:rRNA from 1 species